UACGUAGGGUGCGAGCGUUGUCCGGAAUUAUUGGGCGUAAAGCGCGCGUAGGCGGUUACUUAAGUCGGAUGUGAAAGCCCUCGGCUUAACUGAGGAAGUGCACCCGAAACUGAGUAGCUAGAGUACGAAAGAGGGUCGCGGAAUUCCCGGUGUAGAGGUGAAAUUCGUAGAUAUCGGGAGGAACACCGGUGGCGAAGGCGGCGACCUGGGUCGAGACUGACGCUGAGGCGCGAAAGUGUGGGGAGCAAACAGG
rnacentral:rRNA from 1 species